rnacentral:tRNA from 1 species
GGAGGGUAUGCGAAUGGCUAGCGGCCUGACUCGAAAUCAGGUGCCGGGAAACCGGUUGAGGGUUCGAAUCCCUUGCCCUCCG